ensembl:lncRNA
UGAAGAUACAAGAAACCUGACAAUUCAGCAACUUUCACUGAAACAGAACAACAGCUUUGAUAUCUCUCAAACUAUGACAGUGGAAGAUUCUAUGGAAGGAUGUGCCAUUUACUGAAGACUACAGAGAUUAAACAAAUAAAUAAAUAAAGUACGAGAGAAAGGACAUCACUUACUGUAAUCUAUUGGUGCUAAUGGAGCUUAUCACCUCUUCUAUUUCUGGUUUCGGAAAAGUGACCACAUGUAAUUACAUCUGCAGAUCAGUGAAGACAGGAAAGAAGAGAAAAAUGCUAACACAUCCUCCUCAACAACUGAAGAGCCAUCUGGAAGGUGAGACUUGCACUGUAAGCUUGUUCAUCUAUGGGUUGCUCUUUCUUUAUGGAGAUCUGCAUCUGCUGCACAACUGCCGAGGCAACAGCAUCAUCAGCCCACUGAACGUCCCUGGAAACUUUCACCUCAUCUUAUCUUAGUGGAUGUGGAAAAUCCUGAUGUGAUAACUCUUGAAGAAAAAAG